UGCAUGGUCAUUCUUAGUUGGUGGAGAAAUUUUGUUAAUUCUGAUAAUAAAUGAGACUCUGGCAUACUAACUAGUUACAUGACCCCAACUUCUUAGGACAAAUGGCAUUUAGCCUCCCAAGAUUGAGCAAUAACAGGUCUCUGAUG
rnacentral:ncRNA from 1 species